rnacentral:lncRNA from 1 species
GCCAGCCCCGGCGGGACGGCGGCGGGUGCAGGCGGGGACCCGGGCCGGGACCGCGGAGCUGCGGGGAGCUCACCGCGAGGCUGGAGGCUGGGAGGCUGCGUCUGCGGGCGCGCCAGGAGCCGAAGCAGCGAGCGAGCGCUCUGCAGAGGGUGGUGGACGCUGCUGAAGGCGCCAGUUCUGGAGGAACCUCUGCCCAUGCUUGAUGAUGUGCGCCUGGACCCUGGAGGAGCUCCCCUCCAGAGGACCAUGGCCACCGCCCAGACUGCAGGGGACCUGCUCUGCCCACACCUGAGCCCCCCGGGGAGAGAGGCACCUGGACUUGACCACCUGAAUCCCAGAUACCAGCUGUGUGACGCUGAAUACACCCCCAGCCUCUCUGAGCCUCUGCUCCGUGUGAAAGAGCAGACUGGAACUACAACUGUCUGGGGAGCUCCCAGCACAGAAGGAAAUCAUGCCCCUGGACACAGCCUGACACACGGAGAGCUGUACCAGUGGACACCUCGUUCCUGCCCUGGGGGUCCAGAGACACUCACCUCUGUGGGGCCGGGGUGCUUGGGGAUUGGCUGGGCCACAGGCCGCAGCAGCUCACCUCGGGGCUGGGCUCUGGGGCAGCUCUGGCCUGCUGUGGCUCGCGCUGGAGGUCUGGCUGGGCAGGGGGCUGAGCUGGAUGAGAUGCCAGGCCCUGGGUCUGGGGGCUGGAGUCCACCACCUCUUUCUCCACGAGCUCAGCAGUGA